CUUUGCGAAAACGGAUAAGUUUGUCCGGUUUCUCCCUCUCUCAAACAAACCCACAGCCGGAGAUAGCCGUCCGGCCGGAGGCGUCGGCGGCAGCAGACUUCUUCAGAAAUGUUAGCUUCUUGUCCUCUUUACCAUGGCUUAUCUUCGCCACAAUUCGCAGCCUCGACUAAAUACAAGCUUCUUCUCUCCUCAUGUGCUUCUUCUUCUGCUCGUUCUCUUCAAACUCACUCUAAAAAUCCUCAUUUUUUCCCGCUUCACUUACUAAGUUCAAGAAAAAGAAGAAAGGGAGGAAAUUCUAGUGGUAGGUUAUGGAUUGCAGCUUGUUUGGACUCCAGAGGUGGCGGCGCGGCGCCUUACUCCGUGAAAAUCCCCGUGGGCAACCGACAUAUAUUGAUUGAAACAGGUCACAUAGGAAGGCAAGCAAGUGGUGCUGUCACGCUGACAGAUGGAGAAACUAUUCUAUACACAACUGUUUCUCUGGAUGAUAUUCCAAGUGAGCCUUCAGAUUUUUUCCCCCUAUCUGUAAAUUAUCAAGAACGCUUUUCAGCUGCUGGUCGAACAAGUGGAGGGUUUUUUAAGCGAGAAGGAAGGACAAAAGAUCAUGAGGUACUUAUUUGUAGAUUGAUAGAUAGGCCUUUACGUCCGACAAUGGUUAAAGGCUUCUAUCAUGAAACUCAAAUAUUGUCCUGGGUACUAAGCUAUGAUGGUUUGCAUCCUCCAGAUUCUUUGGCUGUUACAGCUGCUGGAAUUGCUGUAGCACUAUCAGAAGUGCCAAAUUCCGAACCUAUUGCUGGCGUUCGAGUUGGUCUGAUUGGUGACCGGUUCAUUGUGAACCCUACAACGAAGGAGAUGGAAAAGUCUAAGUUGGAUCUGUUGCUGGCAGGCACGGAGACUGCAAUAUUAAUGAUUGAGGGUUAUUGUGAUUUUCUUACUGAAGAGAGGUUGCUUAAUGCAGUACAAAUUGGGCAGGAUGCUGUGCGUGCAAUUUGCAGGGAAGUGGCUGCUUUAGUGAAGCUAUGUGGAAAGCCUAAAAUGCUUGAUGCAAUUAAAUUACCUCCUCCAGAGCUAUAUAAGCAUGUUGAAGAUAUUGCAGGUCAAGAAUUGGUGGAAGUGUUACAAAUUAAAAAUAAGAUCCCAAGAAGAAAGGCUUUAUCAUAUUUAGAAAACAAGGUUCUGAGUAUACUAACAGAGAGAGGUUACAUUAGCAAGAUUGAUGCCAUUGUUUCUACCGAGUUGACACCAGAUUUAAUUGAGGAUGAGGAGGAAGAUGAGGAAGUGGUUGUGGAAGGUGAAGUUGAUGAAGGUGAUGUUCACAUCAAGCUAGUGUCUCGUAAAUCCAUUCCCUUGCUCUUUACAGAGGUAGAUGUGAAGCUUGUUUUCAAAGAAGUUACAUCAAAGUUUCUCCGCAGGCGAAUUGUGGAGGGAGGAAAACGAAGUGAUGGCAGAGCACCUUGUGAGGUACGGCCAAUAAACUCAUCUUGCGGACUACUUCCCAGAGUACAUGGGAGUGCACUGUUUACACGUGGAGAAACACAGUCACUAGCUGUUGCUACACUUGGUGAUAAACAAAUGGCACAAAAGAUUGAUAAUCUUGUGGAUGUGGAAGAAUUCAAGAGAUUCUAUCUUCAGUACUCAUUUCCACCCUCAUGUGUUGGUGAAGUUGGGAGGGUGGGGGCACCAUCUAGAAGAGAAAUUGGUCAUGGAGUGCUGGCAGAGAGAGCUCUAGAGCCUAUAUUGCCUUCUGAGGAUGAUUUUCCUUAUACCAUACGUGUUGAGAGUACCAUCACUGAGAGCAAUGGCUCGUCAAGUAUGGCAUCAGUGUGUGGUGGUUGCUUAGCUUUGCAAGAUGCUGGUGUUCCACUAAAGUCCUCUAUUGCUGGUAUAGCAAUGGGUAUGGUAUUGGACACAAAAGAAUUUGGCGGAGAUGGAACUCCACUUAUCCUUUCUGACAUAACUGGAUCAGAAGAUGCAUCUGGAGAUAUGGAUUUCAAGGUAGCUGGAAAUAAUGAUGGUAUAACUGCAUUCCAGUUGGACAUCAAGGUAGGAGGGAUUACUUUACCAAUCAUGGAGCGGGCUCUCCUGCAAGCAAGAGAUGGUCGAAAACAUAUCCUUGCUGAAAUGUCAAAGUGCUGCCCUCCUCCUUCAAAAAGUCUCUCCAAGUAUGCUCCAAUAAUUCAUGUUAUGAAGGUCAAACCAGAAAAGAUUAACCUCAUCAUUGGUUCUGGUGGUAAGAAGGUGAAGAGCAUUAUUGAGGAAACUGGGGUUGAAGCUAUUGACGCACAGGAUGAUGGAACUGUGAAAAUAACUGCCAAAGAUUUAUCCAGCUUGGAAAAGUCCAAAGCCAUAAUUAGCAAUCUUACAAUGGUUCCAACUGUUGGGGAUAUUUAUAGGAACCGUGAAAUCAAAUCCAUUGCUCCUUAUGGAGCUUUUGUUGAAGUUGCACCUGGACGGGAGGGGCUCUGCCACAUUAGUGAACUGAGUGCCAGUUGGCUGGGUAAAGCAGAAGAUGCUGUCAAAGUUGGAGACCGAGUUGAUGUGAAGCUGAUUGAGGUCAAUGAGAAAGGACAGCUUCGUUUAAGUCGCCGUGCUUUACUUCCAGAUCCUGAUAAGGGAAACCCCUUAAAAGAGACUACAAGUUCUCAAAAGUCUGUUGAUAAGGGUAAACCUAAGAAAGCAGCAACAGUUGUAAAGGAUACUUUACCAGUGGAGAAUGCUGAAUUGGCCAAGGGUAUUAAACUUCCAAACCCAGGAAAAAGUAAGCCAGUAGAGAAUAAAUUGGUUUCAGAAGAUAAGUUUGUGAAGAAAAUUGUCGUCUCAGACAAGGAUGGAGCUCAUAUUGACAAAGGAAGGCCCAAGAAGAGCAGCAGUAAACAAGUUGUUAAUCUUGCCAGCAAAACAGAUGGAGCUGUGAUAAAUGGAGAGGCCAAUGGUGGAUAGUAAAUUAGCAUAACCUUCAAAUUCAUAUUGGCUUUACUGUGACUGGGGUGUGAUUUUCUCUCACCUUGAGAACUGAGGAAAUAAAUUGUGCACAUCCUUCUGUCAGCAUGCAAGAGCAGUACAAAUAUCAUGUCUUCAUACGCGCGCAUCCAUGGAGUACACUCAUGAUAAAUUCAUUAACUGGAAGCAGAGGAUGGAUCUAAGGCAACUGCUGCUUAUUUUAUUGGUAAUCUCGAGUUUUGCCCAAAGUGAUGUUGCUCCUGAUUUCUGAGUUGACACUGACAAGUUUUUGCUGGAACCUAUUGAGCAAAAGUUAUUCUUAAGAUGAGAUCAGGGUUGGCCUGUAUUCCUUUCUCAGUUGCAAGUUUCAAUUUAGAUUCGAUGAGUUUCAACUCCUUUUAAACUCCACCUGAGAGAUUGCAUCCCCUCCAUCUCAUUGAAAUCGGGUAAAGGAUCCAUGUAGAACAAUAGUUUACAGAUUGAAAAUGCGUUGCAAGUAUUUAUGGAUAAGAGGCGUUUUUCUAUAUGAAAACCUUUGUACUCGAACUUGCUUGCAUCAGUUUUCCUUUAAAAAAAUUGUAAUUUUCUUCUCAGAUGAUUAUUUAUAGUCUUCGCUGGUCUGUUGUACAUUUAAAAUAAGAAAUAUUCAGUUGUUUAAAGCAAAUAAUUAAGUCA